AUACCUACGGGAGGCAGCAGUGGGGGAUAUUGCACAAUGGGGGAAACCCUGAUGCAGCGACGCCGCGUGGGUGAAGAAGCGCCUCGGCGCGUAAAGCCCUGUCAGCAGGGAAGAAAAUGACGGUACCUGAAGAAGAAGCCCCGGCUAACUACGUGCCAGCAGCCGCGGUAAUACGUAGGGGGCAAGCGUUAUCCGGAUUUACUGGGUGUAAAGGGGGCGCAGACGGCGAUGCAAGCCAGGAGUGAAAGCCCGGGGCCCAACCACGGGACUGCUCUUGGCACUUCGUGGCUAGAGUGCAGGCGGGG
rnacentral:rRNA from 1 species